ACGGCACCGGCACGGCACGGAGCGGCACGGCAGGGCACGGCACCGGCACGGCCUGGCGCGGCGCGGCCGCGGCACGGCACCGGCACAGGCACUGGCGCGGCGCGGCGCGGGGAGGAGGCGGGAUGCUCCCUCAGCCGCCCCUGCCCCCGGGAUGCUGACCCCCGCACCCCCCGGAAAGGCUGAAAUCCCAGCAAGACCACAGCAGUUCUCCCAGCUGAGAAAUUCAGUGCAAGAGAGAUGGAGAAUCUGAGCUCAGCCUGGAUUCCACCCUGUCUGGAGAAACCCAGAGUUCGGCAGCACCAUCAGAGGUUUUCAUUACUCAGGCAAGUGCUGUGGGGGCUGGUUUUGCUUUUACCUCCUUUAAUUUUGUUCCUGCAAUUUCCCAGAGAUGCUUGAAAACAAAGCACCUCUCAGGUCUUUCUUUCCCUCUGCCAAGGGAGCUCCUGGCACAGAGCCCUGCCUGGUGCACAGGGCAGUGUCCCAGCGUCCCUCCCUUCCUCAGGGAACCCUGCAGCUUUUCUGCAAGGACUGACGUUGACCUCCAGCAGCACAGGCAGGCAGGCUGUCCUUCUUCAGCAUCCUCCACAGGUUGCAGAUGCUUGGCCUUCUCCGUGCCAGUUGAAGAUGUGCCCCUGCAAAUCCCAU